UUAGAGGAUUUGAAUACUUCAACUUGUAUACUUGGAGGAUUUGAGUAAUAAACUCGAAGAAUAUAAAGACUUCAAUUUGCAUACUUGAUCUAAUUUAAAGACUUCAAUU
rnacentral:pre_miRNA from 1 species